CCUCCUGAGACUACGGCUCUGAUGGGAUAUUGUGUCCGAGCUGAAGUCUCGCGAGGCA
rnacentral:pre_miRNA from 1 species